GGGUUGUGAGGUUAAGCGACUAAGCGUACACGGUGGAUGCCCUGGCAGUCAGAGGCGAUGAAGGACGUGCUAAUCUGCGAAAAGCGUCGGUAAGGUGAUAUGAACCGUUAUAGCCGGCGAUGUCCGAAUGGGGAAACCCAGUGCAAUUCGUUGCACUAUCGUUAACUGAAUACAUAGGUUAACGAGGCGAACCGGGGGAACUGAAACAUCUAAGUACCCCGAGGAAAAGAAAUCAACCGA
rnacentral:rRNA from 3 species